UACGUAGGGCCCGAGCAUUAUCCGGAAUUAUUGGGCGUAAAGAGCGUGUAGGUGUUCCUACAAGUCGGUCGUUAAAUCUCACAGCUCAACUGUGAGGCCGCGAGCGAAACUGUAGGAAUUGAGGUUUACAGGGGCAAGCAGAAUUCCAGGAGUAGGGGUGAAAUCCGUUGAUACCUGGAGGAAUACCAAUGGCGAAGGCAGCUUGCUGGGUAAUACCUGACACUGAGACGCGAAAGCGUGGGGAGCAAACGGG
rnacentral:rRNA from 1 species